GGGGAACAAUGAAGGUGAAUUCCUCUGAAAUGCCCUAAUGGAUCCCACAUGUUCUGGAUGGUUCAUGGUUUGGUUGUUCUGGAGGUGCUGGACCUGCCUGAGGAUGGUUGGUGAUGGCCAAGGGACCCCAUCCUGGUGUGGAAGGUCUGAGACCAACAGCAGCUCUCUAAUGCACAAUAUUUCCAGGAGCCAAGUCCUGUAUUUUAUUCUGUGUGUGCCUAAAUGCCACAAAAGUCCAAAAAGUAAAAAAAAUUGCUGUAGAGCCCUCUGAAGAAGCUCCUUCUGGCAGUGAACUUCUGGAUGGUGGAUGGGAGCUGUGUCUGGAAAGGGAGGAGCAGCCUGGAGAUCAUCCCUGACUUCAGGAGGCUCAGAGCAUCCUGGAGCACUGAAUCAUUUCAGCUUUACCCCUGUUCCUCACACAGGGAUGGUUCCCAUUCCCAUUUUGGAGCUGGGAAGUUCUCUGAGCUCCCUGUAAAUGUCUGUUCACACCCAGCUCCUCCUGCCAGCUGCAAAGGAGCAUCCAGAAAUGUGCCCACAGAUGUUUAAGAAGUAAAAGGAGCUGAGAUGUGCACAAGGCAGCAGCACCUCUGCUCCCCUUCCCCUGCAGGGCUGGGAGCUCCUGGGUGGGUUUGAUGAACCCAGAGAGCAGAUUCUGUUCAAACUCUCUCUGUUUGCUUGCUCUGGGCUGUUGUGGUGCUGUUCUGGUGUGGGUUUGUUCCCUCAGGAUGGUUCUGCCUGGCUGAUUUUACCACCUGCAGCUUCAAAUCCAAAUUCCACCCUCGGGGAGGGGACAGGGCAAGGACAAGGCCAUCAGAUAAGUGGCCUUAUAGAUAGACAGAUAAGCAGCCGCUCCUUCUCCAGCAGUUCAGGAAGAUUCAUCAGAGCUCCAAGUAACACCAGGAUCUUGCCAAAGACAAAUUUGCCUGUCUGAUCUGUCAGUGUGUACUCUCCACAAAGCCUGCUCCCUUUUGGAUGUGUUGGUGAAGUUUCCCAGAGCAGUUUGGCCAAUCACACCGUGGCUCCAAACCCCUGUCAAGGCUUCUGCUGUGUUUUUCACUGCCCCUUGAGUGACAUCAUUCAAAUGAUGAGUCUCUGAGAUGAUUCAUACCAAAAAUAAAGAUCCUAAUAAUUGUUACCA
rnacentral:lncRNA from 1 species